rnacentral:lncRNA from 1 species
CUUCUUUGAGGGUUCGAAACCAAAAGGCCCAACAGUGAAGACAUCAUAUGUGGGGGGUUUUACAGGGAGAGAGCUAGCUGCUGGUGGCUUGGGAAGUGGGGUGUAUUUCAACAAAGCACCAGAUUUUCCACCAUUGUAAUCUGUUGGGACAUCGCAAUAAGUAUUGUUUGAUGAGACCAAGAACACCUUGCAUUUGUGGUAAGCUCCUGAGGACAAGAGUUUGGGCAUGAUCCAGAAGAAACCAUUCUUGUCUGUCUUGCCCUGUUCCACUAAUGUCUUCUUUGUGUUGUUGCAUACUAGCUUCACUACCGCUCCUGCAAUGACAUCAUAUCCAAACAAUCAGUAUCCCUUAAGGUGGCGAAAACGGAAUGUUAUAACGUAAAUAAAAAUGUUACAAUAUCAUGUCACCUAAAAGAUAACUAUAUAUAAUUACCCAUAAUUAUAAGUGUCAAUAAGGAGGCAGCCUACUACAACAGAUUGAUGGUGUGUAGAAAUUACUUACAGUGUCAAUGUGUCAUGGUAUAUAUUUAAAUCUAUAAUUUCGAGGGUAAAUAACUACUGUUCAGUGUGCACAUAAGAUAUGUAUUAGUACAUUCUAUAUGACUAUAUUAAUAGCUAUACCAACAUCAAUACUCUCAAAUCAAAAGACAAAACAAAUUCAGCUCAAAAUACUAAGAAAUCGUUAGAAACAUAUGUAUUAGUUAAAGUUUGAUGUGGUAGAGUUUUGAAAAUCGAAAAAUGACUACUCUUUUUGGCAAAAUGCCUUCUCCGUCGGAAUGCAUUAUUAGCCUUUCCUAUAGUAUAAAAUCUCGCCAAAUAUCUUUUGCGACAUUGAAUAGGGCAUAUUAUGAGCUCCUUGGUAAACCGCAAAGUAAAAUGACAUAAGUAAUAUAUAUAAUACUCCUUGAUAUGUUCAUGAAUUGCAUAAAAUGUUAACCAAAAUAAAAUGAAGUACUAAAAAAGAAGGAUAUUGAACAAACCCAGGAGUGGGGAAGCUUGGUUUAGAGUUUUAACCCCUCUAAACUUGCACGGUUUGCAGUAAACAAGGCCACGUACAGCUACAGGUUUCCUAGUAAUAGGAGCAGGAUAAGGUGAUGGUGUUGGUGGUUUAACUGGUGGCUUAGCUGGUGGUUUUGAUGGACUAUAAGUGGGAGGCUUAGUUGGUGGUUUAACUGGCGGCUUAGCUGGUGGUUUUGAUGGACUGUAAGUGGGAGGUUUAGUUGGUGGUUUUGAAGGAGUAUAAGAUGGUGAAGGGGCUGGGGAAUAUUUGGGGUGGUGGUAGCCUUUGUGAGCUUUAGGGGCUUCAGCUGGUG